rnacentral:rRNA from 1 species
CACGGGGGGAGCAAGCGUUGUUCGGAAUCACUGGGCGUAAAGGGCGUGUAGGCGGUCAAGUAAGUGGAAUGUGAAACGCCUCGGCUUACCCGAGGACCUGCAUCCCAAACUGCUUGGCUUGAGUAUGGGAGAGGAUGAGGGAAUUCCUGGUGUAGCGGUGAAAUGCGUAGAUAUCAGGAGGAACACCGGUGGCGAAAGCGCUCAUCUGACCCAAUACUGACGCUGAGGCGCGAAAGCUAGGGGAGCAAACGGG